UGAUCGUACCAGGGUGGCUGAUGAGAUGUCAAUGUUGAGAGUUCCUCAGCAGAUGAUGAAGAUGAAGGACCAAUGAUGUGAAGGCCCAGAUCCAUCAGAGUAUCAAUGUUCUUCCUCUGUCUCCUCCCCUCUCACUGCAGACAUGAAACACUGGCUGAGAAACAUCCUGAUUCUGACUCUCUGUCUAGAGUGUAAAGGAGAAGACAGAGUGAUCCAGCCAACAGGAGAUGUCAUUGCUACUGAAGGACACACAGUUACACUUGGCUGUACAUUUGAGACCAGUUACUCAGGUCCAACUUUGUUCUGGUACAAACAGGAUCUAAAUGAUUUCCCAAAGUUUAUGCUACGAGGCUACUCUGAGGCAAAAGAUGCUGAAGUUUCUCAGGAAGACAGAUUUGAUGCAACACUCAACAAGACAUCAGUUCCUCUGAAGAUCCAGAAGCUUCAGCUGUCUGACUCUGCUGUGUACUACUGUGCUCUGCAGCCCACAGUGACAGGAAACACCACAACUCUGUACAAAAACAUUAUGAGCAAAGACAACACAAUACUCCACAACAUCCACUAGAGGGAGUCACACACUGUUAGACUUUAACAGGAGGUCCAAAUAAAGUCCACAGUCUUACAACAAGUCAGUUACAACAGUCUUAUUACUUACAACAAAGCCACAAAACACAGGAGACUGAAUCUACUGCAUCAAAUAUGUGUUUGUGUCUUUUAUGAUAAUGAGAAGUUUAAAUUAAUGAGAGUUUCACAGAGAAAAUCCUCAGACAUGCUAACAGAGAGGCUCCAACACUGAUCCUUUAAAAACCUCUUGUACUCCACCCCCAUUUUGUAGCAAAAACGCCUAAAAUGACAUACCCAAAUUAAAAUGACUGUAGCUUCUGAACCGCUCUGACUACAUGCAUGCAUGAGGUCUUGUCAGA